rnacentral:rRNA from 1 species
AUUGAACGCUGGCGGCAUGCCUUACACAUGCAAGUCGAACGGUAACAGGUCUUCGGCUGCUGCCGAGUGGCGCACGGGUGUGUAAUACAUCGGAACGUGCCCGAUCGUGGGGGAUAACGCGGCGAAAGCCUUGCUAAUACCGCAUACGCUCUCCGGAUGAAAGCGGGGGAUCUCCGGACCCCGCGCGGUCGGAGCGGCCGAUGGCAGAUUAGGUAGUUGGUGGGAUAAAAGCUUACCACGCCGACGAUCUGUAGCUGGUCUGAGAGGAUGAUCAGCCACACUGGGACUGAGACACGGCCCAGACUCCUACGGGAGGCAGCAGUGGGGAAUUUUGGACAAUGGGCGAAAGCCUGAUCCAGCCAUGCCGCGUGCAGGAUGAAGGCCUUCGGGUUGUAAACUGCUUUUGUACGGAACGAAAAGCCUCUUGCUAAUAAAGAGGGGUCAUGACGGUACCGUAAGAAUAAGCACCGGCUAACUACGUG